GCGCCUGUAGCUCAGUGGUAGAGCGGUCGACUGCAGUAAAAAAAGUUCAUCGUCAGGUCCCUGGUUCAAACCCGGGCGGGCGCU